rnacentral:lncRNA from 1 species
AGAAACCAAGCGAUUAGGAUUUAAAUGAAUUUUAAUCUUCUAUCAAAGUUUCUACUACAAUUAUCCCAAAAAAUUAUUCUGCUAUGUAAAUAACAACCCUUUAUUUUAUAUUCCAACGGGCCUUAAUAAGGCACUAGUUCAUUAUGAAUUCAUUUUUAAAUAAUAUCAAACAUAAUAGGAAUAAAAAAUAAAUUCAAGGACAAAGGAUUGUCAUGAUCAUUUAGACCCAAUUCAGAAUAACGAUUCUUUGGUUUUUUUAUUUAGAUUAUUUUUGUUUUGAGCG